UCCCCGUUACCGGGGCAGUCUGAAUAGAAAAAUCCAACUAUUCAUAAGGGUUGCGCUCGUUGAUGGACUUAACCAAACAUCUCACGACACGAGCUGACGACGGCCAUGCAACACCUGUCACUUGGUUCCCGAAGGCACUCACUACUUUCAUAGUAAUUCCAAGGAUGUCAAACCCUGGUAAGGUUCUACGCUUAACAUCGUAUUAAACAACACGCUCCACCGCUUGUGCGGGUCCCCGUCUAUUCCUUUGAGUUUUAAUCUUGCGACCGUACUCCCCAGGCGGAAUGCUUAACGCGUUAGCUUCGCUACAUACCGGGUCGAUACGGCAUACAGCUAGCAUUCAUAGUUUACGGCGUGGACUAC
rnacentral:misc_RNA from 1 species